rnacentral:lncRNA from 1 species
AUGAUUUCAAAUAGUAUUUGAACCCAUAUCUACAAAUAAUAGUUUUACUGGGUAGCUGCAUUAAGAUGGACGCAAUAACCUUCUCUUUCUUUUCACAUCGGUCCUAGUCUUCACACUCUCUCUCUUAAAAGAUGCACUUCACCUUUCUUUUCACAUUGGUCCUAGUCUUCUCUCACUCUUUCUCUUAAAAUAUGCACUUCACCUUUCUUUUCACAUUGGUCCUAGUCUUCUCUCAAUCUUUCUCUUAAAAGAUGCACUUCACCUUUCUUUUCACAUUGGUCCUAGUCUUCUCUCAAUCUUUCUCUUAAAAGAUGCACUUCACCUUUCUUUUCACAUUGCUCCUAGUCUUCUCUCAAUCUUUCUCUUAAAAGAUGCACUUCACUUUUCCACUCCUGUCCGUUUCAUGUGAUUAGAUUAGGGUACUGAUUAUAACAGGUUAUGAGGUCUUAAGAGAUGACAUUCCUGUCGAGGUUUUACGUUGCACUACUUAAUCAGUCUGUCAUUGUACACAGUGAAUGACACAUCCACAUGUAUUUGUUGUGUUACUGAUGGAUAGAGAUGUUUUACUGUGGUAAAGUGCAGUAUAGGCACUAUUUAAUGUAUUGCCUACAUUGGGUAAAAGUCCUGGUCCUAAAGUACAGCUGGAUUGGACCUGUGUGUCUGUCGGUGUCUGGGGUGUUGAAGGGUUACUGGGGAUGAUGGCUGUUCUCUUGGACCAUUCUUUGUUAAUGUAAUAUUUUAAUGUGACAUCUUUCAAUAAUGGACAUGGGAAAAGUAUCAUGUAUGCACACUGUGUCCAUUUGAAACGGAAACAGGCCUAUGACGUUGAAGGAAAUCAUAUUUUAUUUACAAAAUAAAGUGACGAUCCCUAUAAAAAUAACUGGUGUCCUGAGCCUUUUAUGUCACAAUUGGUCAAAGGAAAGCACUAAGACAUAAUACAUCACAUGGUUAUUAAAGCUGUUUUAUAAGGAAAGUAUGGAGAAAGAUGAAUAUAUAUAUAUAAAGGAAAGGUACUUCUAUACUAUUGAGGAUAUAAAGCUUACUGUACCUUAUGUGAAAGCUUAUUUGAUAACCUGUGGGAGUCCCCUGCUCUCCUCACACUCACAGCAUUCAUCUGGAAAGGCAUCUGCCUGAUGGAAGUGAAUUGGGGAAUAAGAUUUAAUUGUGUUUUUCUAAAUGACUAAUGGUUUUUAAUAUAUCUCACUUCAAAGUACUGUCCACUGGGUCUCUUCACAACUCCUCAAAAGUAAGAGAGGAGAGUAUUGUUUGGGUAGUUUGAAGACUAUGAGAAGAAAAAGAAAGUGAGUCUCACCCAGCAGUAUUUGGAUCCGUAGUGUUCAAGGUGAAUCAAACCAUUGGUGAUGAAGUUAAUUUAACUCUAGGCCAUGUAAUUGAUGUUACAUUCACUGCACGUUCUAUCUGGACACGGUAUUCAACUGCAGUCAGCAGAUUGGGGUCUCAGGCAGUCUGAGAUAAUCAACGCCUAAUGGAAUAGAAUACAUACCGGCGUAUUGAAUCUGACUCAAUUUAACUUCAUGACCAAAUGACGGCUUGUUGAAUGUAAUGGGCUGAACCUUGAUAACCACUCGCCCAUGUGAAUGACUGGAUGUCCUCUUAAAACUGCUUCCAGUGACCGCUCUGCAUGAGAACCCCAUAUUGUCUAAAUAAGCAAUCCAAUCUCAAGAUCCGUAAUGGUGAUUUAAAAUGAUCAGUGUCAUCAUCACAUUGAAUGGCACCGGUGUUCUUCUCAGGUCAACUCAGUUCAUUUCAGAUAACAAUUGGUUUACCAUAAAUGGCAGCUCCACAUUGUCAUGCAGGUCAUUUCAAAUCUUAAUUGACCAUCUUUAAAUAAUGACUUUGAAGGUAAUGCAAUCAUAUACUGUAGCUGCAGUUGAGGAGGCUAUGGAUUGGAACGCCAGCUAGAUCAGUGGGCAGGACAGGAGAUGGUGAUAUUGGUUCUUCAUUGUCCUAGAGAAGACAAGGGAUGGUGAUAUUGGUUCUUCAUUGUCCUAGAGAAGACAAGGGAGGGUGAUAUUGGUUCUUCAUUGUCCUAGAGAAGACAGGAGAUGGUGAUAUUGGUUCUUCAUUGUCCUAGAGAAGACAGGAGAUGGUGAUAUUGAUGCUACAUUGUCCUAGAGAAGACAGGAGAUGGUGAUAUUGAUGCUUCAUUGUCCUAGAGAAGACAGGAGAUGGUGAUAUUGAUGCUUCAUUGUCCUAGAGAAGACAGGAGAUGGUGAUAUUGAUGCUUCAUUGUCCUAGAGAAGACAGGAGAUGGUGAUAUUGAUGCGUCAUUGUCCUAGAGAAGACAGGAGAUGGUGAUAUUGAUGCUUCAUUGUCCUAGAGAAGACAGGAGAUGGUGAUAUUGAUGCUUCAUUGUCCUAGAGAAGACAGGAGAUGGUGAUAUUGAUGCUUCAUUGUCCUAGAGAAGACAGGAGAUGGUGAUAUUGAUGCUUCAUUGUCCUAGAGAAGACAGGAGAUGGUGAUAUUGAUGCUUCAUUGUCCUAGAGAAGACAGGAGAUGGUGAUAUUGAUGCUUCAUUGUCCUAGAGAAGACAGGAGAUGGUGAUAUUGAUGCUUCAUUGUCCUAGAGAAGACAGGAGAUGGUGAUAUUGGUUCUUCAUUGUCCUAGAGAAGACAGGAGAUGGUGAUAUUGAUGCUUCAUUGUCCUAGAGAAGACAGGAGAUGGUGAUAUUGGUUCUACAUUGUCCUGCAGAAGAGAAAAGGCAAUAAUAGUUAGUCAAUAGUUAGUCUAAAGUUGUGACCAAUGAUGCAUAUAAACCCUGGAUUGCUAAUGCUACGUAUUGGCCAUUGAGAGGCUAGAAAACCACCGGUCUCUUCCCCAGUAGAAGUCAUCAUUUAGUUUUUUCUUUCACAUUUUCAAACAGUUCAACAGGGAUAUACAUUUGGGUGAGGUUUUUUCCUCGCCUGAGUAACCUUGUUUCACUGCCAAAAAUAACAUUAAACCAUCUAGUGUUCAGUGAAAUAACAACACAAUGUCAAAUACAGGUAGCCUAGUCAAAUAAUUAACAUCCAAUCACAUUAACCGUUAUUCUCUCACGGAGAUUCCACUAACGGUCCGUAUGUAGCCAAACGUAGCUGCAGCUCAUGUUGGUAUCUGUACUGAUGGCGCAAAAGCCAUGACAGGGAGACAUAGUGGAGUGGUAACGCACGUGUAAGCAGUUGCUCCCAACGCCACCUGGGUACACUGCAGCAUCCACCGAGAGGCUCUUGCUGCCAAGGGAAUGCCUGAC